AUCCCCAUGAUGAAACUGGCAAACAUACUGGACUUAAAAUUCAGGUUUUGUAGGUUCGAGUCCUACUGGGGAUACCA
rnacentral:tRNA from 1 species